rnacentral:tRNA from 1 species
UGCGAGGUAGAGCAGUGGCAGCUCGUUGGGUUCAUAUCCCAAAGGUCGCCGGUUCGAGUCCGGUUCUCGCUA